CCUGGAUUUGCACUUAUCGGCUAUAACAAAACAUCCGCUGGUAAGUUAAUGGACUGAUAAUUACUAUCUCCUCUAUCAACAGGUUCUUAGGGCGCUGCGUAAAUGGAAAUCCAGAUCUCUGCUCCAAGAUCAAAUACAUCCUGGACUUGCCUGGAAGGGGUCAGAAAAAAUUAAAUAAGAUAAAUGAGCAGAGAGGUUUGAGCAAAUGUCUUUGAUUUGUGCAAGAGAGCCAUAAAAAUAAAGUCUCUGGGGCCAUUUCAUCUUACAUCAGAAACCAAGCUUGCCUCCCUCCAUACCGGGUCAGCAUGGCCUCUCUCUCAGAUGUUCAGGAAAGGGGGGUGAACGCCCAGACACAUGAAAACGUAUUAGAUUGAACCUGUGAUAAAUGGCUUUCAGAACGUGAUCAUGACUGAUGGAACAGGACUCU
rnacentral:lncRNA from 1 species